rnacentral:rRNA from 1 species
CCUACGGGAGGCAGCAGUGAGGAAUAUUGGUCAAUGGACGAGAGUCUGAACCAGCCAAGUAGCGUGAAGGAUGACUGCCCUAUGGGUUGUAAACUUCUUUUAUAUGGGAAUAAAAUGUUCCACGUGUGGGAUUUUGUAUGUACCAUAUGAAUAAGGAUCGGCUAACUCCGUGCCAGCAGCCGCGGUAAUACGGAGGAUCCGAGCUUUAUCCGGAUUUAUUGGGUUUAAAGGGAGCGUAGGUGGAUUGUUAAGUCAGUUGUGAAAGGUUGCAGCUCAACCGUAAAAUUGCAGUUGAAACUGGCAGUCUUGAGUACAGUAGAGGUGGGCGGAAUUCGUGGUGUAGCGGUGAAAUGCUUAGAUAUCACGAAGAACUCCGAUUGCGAAGGCAGCUCACUGGACUGCAACUGACACUGAGGCUCGAAAGUGUGGGUAUCAAACAGGAUUAGAUACCCUAGUAGUC